rnacentral:rRNA from 1 species
GAACUGAAGAGUUUGAUCCUGGCUCAGAUUGAACGCUGGCGGCAUGCCUUACACAUGCAAGUCGAACGGCAGCACGGGGGCAACCCUGGUGGCGAGUGGCGAACGGGUGAGUAAUACAUCGGAACGUGUCCUGUAGUGGGGGAUAGCCCGGCGAAAGCCGGAUUAAUACCGCAUACGCUCUACGGAGGAAAGGGGGGGAUCUUAGGACCUCUCGCUACAGGGGCGGCCGAUGGCAGAUUAGCUAGUUGGUGGGGUAAAGGCCUACCAAGGCGACGAUCUGUAGCUGGUCUGAGAGGACGACCAGCCACACUGGGACUGAGACACGGCCCAGACUCCUACGGGAGGCAGCAGUUAGGAAUCUUGCGCAAUGGGCGAAAGCCUGACGCAGCCAUGCCGCGUGAAUGAUGAAGGUCUUAGGAUUGUAAAAUUCUUUCAGCGGGGAAGAUAAUGACGGUACCCGCAGAAGAAGCUCCGGCUAACUUCGUGCCAGCAGCCGCGGUAAUACGAAGGGGGCUAGCGUUGCUCGGAAUUACUGGGCGUAAAGGGCGCGUAGGCGGAUGACUAAGUCGGGGGUGAAAGCCCGGGGCUCAACCUCGGAACUGCCUUCGAUACUGGUCAUCUUGAGUACGGGAGAGGUGUGUGGAACUCCGAGUGUAGAGGUGAAAUUCGUAGAUAUUCGGAAGAACACCAGUGGCGAAGGCGACACACUGGCCCGUUACUGACGCUGAGGCGCGAAAGCGUGGGGAGCAAACAGGAUUAGAUACCCUGGUAGUCCACGCCGUAAACGAUGAGUGCUAGGUGUAGAGGGUAUCGACCCCUUCUGUGCCGCAGUUAACACAAUAAGCACUCCGCCUGGGG